UCAAGUGCGGCAAGGACCACGUGUCAUUCUGGGAAUGGAUCUGCGACCAAGACGUGUGCGUGAGGCGACUGGUUGAGGAUGCGUGCGUCAGUCAUCUGACUAAUGAUUUGACGGUUUUUAAUGGUACUCAGGGCCCGAGGUGGUGUAAUGAUGGGAAAUAAAUACUUUAUUCCCAUCCGAGGAGUCAUAAAUAGGAUCGUCGCUUCCUCUCCAGCCGUUGGAUCUGAUGCACACGGAAUGGGAAGAUCGGGCCCGUCCACUUGAGGAAUUCGAAACGGCUUCUUCCCUGCUAUAAAAACGAGGGAAAGGACCUUUCUUCCUCUUUACGCUUUCAGAUUCUCCAUCUUUAGGAUUUUCAGAUUUCCAAACCUUCGAACUCUCAGGCUUCCCGGCUUACGUUCCCCCGAACUUGCCAUUUCUUUUGCUUUUACUUCUCGCGAUCGUGCUGUGCAGUGAUCCAGUUACUCCUUCAACCUCCACCUACCCGAAUAUCAGUAAGUAUUUCUACUUUGCUCUUUCCUCCCAGACCUUAGGUUGUUGGUAGUUGUUAGAGUAGAGGUUUCUGCCAUUAUUGCUUGUGUGCAUGCGUGAAUAGGGCUUUGGUAGGCAUGUGAUCGAUUGUGAGUCGAUAAGUAGCCUUUUCUGCAUGCUUUGGCGAUUUGCGUUUGGAAAGUCGUCCCUUGUUUUGCUGUUUUAGGGCAUAAGCAUGAACGCCUUUAGGGUGUCUUUCUCUGGAAAAACACUUCUUUUGGUGGGCUUAGGCUCGGGGUCUGAGUCUGGUUCCUUGCUGCCCUUUGGGUGGCAUGGUGCCAAUCCCUCGGUAAGCUCGGUGGGAGCCUCUCCAAGCAGUUUUCGGGGAGGGUCUCCCCGACGCCUUUGAUACCACUAGGGUAUGACAAGGGUGCUGACUGCUUAGAGUGUUUUCUUCUUUCUUUUCUUUUGUCCAGUGAUGAACAUCCCAAAGGAACAACUCCUUGCUGUGGGGGAGGCUGAUUCUGCCCAAGAGAAGGGCUCUCCUGUCGCUGGUGGAAAGGGGAAAGGAAAGGCGAAAGUGGUCGCGGCUAGCCCACCAACCUCCAAUAGUUCCAUCUGGGAGAUGGACCAAAAGCCGAACCUUUUCAGGAAUUAUGGCAUGCUG